rnacentral:rRNA from 1 species
AGUGAACGCUGGCGGUAGGCCUAACACAUGCAAGUCGAACGGCAGCACAGUAAGAGCUUGCUCUUACGGGUGGCGAGUGGCGGACGGGUGAGGAAUACAUCGGAAUCUACUUUUUCGUGGGGGAUAACGUAGGGAAACUUACGCUAAUACCGCAUACGACCUACGGGUGAAAGCAGGGGAUCUUCGGACCUUGCGCGAUUGAAUUAGCCGAUGUCGGAUUAGCUAGUUGGCGGGGUAAAGGCCCACCAAGGCGACGAUCCGUAGCUGGUCUGAGAGGAUGAUCAGCCACACUGGAACUGAGACACGGUCCAGACUCCUACGGGAGGCAGCAGUGGGGAAUAUUGGACAAUGGGCGCAAGCCUGAUCCAGCCAUGCCGCGUGGGUGAAGAAGGCCUUCGGGUUGUAAAGCCCUUUUGUUGGGAAAGAAAAGCAGCAGGUUAAUACCCCGCUGUUCUGACGGUACCCAAAGAAUAAGCACCGGCUAACUUCGUG